rnacentral:lncRNA from 1 species
GUACUGCUCUGCUAGCAGCAGGAGCAAAUGAAAGAAUUCAGUGUCAGCAUUUUCUGUUUCUCAUCUGACAAACAAGGUCAGGUAUUUCUUUGAACAACCCAGUUCCAAUAGCUGUGAAACAUAAAGAGACAAGCAGGGGAAGAUUUUCCAGAAAGGCUGGUGGCUAGGCACAAGAAGCAGAUGAAAGAGAAAGUUCUACAAGCGGUUGGAAGAAAUGGGUGCUCUGGAGGUCAGGACAAGUGAGGAGUUUUGAGAGUUGAGGUUCAGGCUGUGAGGACUGUAUCUCUCCCCCAGCAAUCCUCUGCCAAGUGAGCCCUUUACAUGCAAGGCAAUUUAUAUCUCACACACCUCUCUGUGCACCUUCUGUUUUUAACUCCCCAGGAGUAAAUGUUUCAGCCUCUUUCUUUAUAGCAAAUUACACCAUUAAUGUCAUCCUGGCGAAUGAAAUGAGAGAAUAGUAUUUAUCAGAGAAAGUCUGGUGAGUUGAAGUCCGAGACCCCAGGAAAAAACUAGCCCUGCUGGGCUGCCCCUCCUUUGCCAGGCUGCAGGCAUCCCAGGCUUCCUGCUGCCCUCAUGUCUACAACCUGUCGUCUGGAACAUUCCAGGAGCCACUUUUAUCACUUGCAGCAAUCUUCUUCAGUGAGUUCCCCAGGACUUGAUUUCAUCUUACAAUCUGAUUCCAUGUGUCUCCCAUAUUUUAAGGAUUCUUUAUAAUUUCUGGCUUACAGAGAACAAA